rnacentral:rRNA from 1 species
AUUGAACGCUGGCGGCGUGCCUAACACAUGCAAGUCGAGCGGUAACAGGUGUAGCAAUACAUGCUGACGAGCGGCGAACGGGUGAGUAAUGCUUCGGAAUCUGCCCAUGUAGUGGGGAAUAACCAGCCGAAAGGUUGGCUAAUACCGCAUACGACCUACGGGUGAAAGCAGGGGAUCGCAAGACCUUGCGCUAUUGGAUGAGCCGAAGUCGGAUUAGCAGUUGGUAGGGUAACGGCCUACCAAGGCGACGAUCCGUAGCUGGUCUGAGAGGACGACCAGCCACACUGGGACUGAGACACGGCCCAGACUCCUACGGGAGGCAGC